rnacentral:rRNA from 1 species
CUAGUUGGUAGGGUAACGGGCCGUACCAAGGCGAUGAUGCAUAGCCCGAGUUGAGAGACUGAUCGGGCCACAUUGGGGACUGAGACACGGGCCCAAACUCCUACGGGAGGCAGCAGUAGGGAAUCUUCCACAAUGGACGCAAGUCUGAUGGAGCAAACGCCGCGUGAGUGAAGAAGGGUUUCGGCUCGUAAAAAGCUCUGUUGUUGGUGAAGAAGGACAGGGGUAGUAACUGACCCUUUGUUUUGACGGUAAUCAAUUAGAAAGUCACGGGCUAACUACGUGCCAGCAGCCGCGGUAAAU